GACAGAGGUCCCGAGCGUUAGGCGGAAUCACUGGGCUUAAAGCGUGUGUAGGCGGAUCGUUAAGUGCCUUGUGAAAUCCCAUGGCUUAACCAUGGAACUGCUUGGCAUACUGGCGAUCUUGAGCCACUUAGGGGCAACCGGAACAAAUGGUGGAGCGGUGAAAUGCGUAGAUAUCAGGAGGAACACCGGUGGCGAAGGCGGGUCUCUGGGCCGAUACUGACGCUGAGGAGCGAAAGCGUGGGGAGCGAACAGG
rnacentral:rRNA from 1 species